AGGGAGCUUAGAGAAGCUCCCUACCUGCUCUGUGUGCUGCAAACAGACCACUGUGACAAUAAAACUGGGUCAUAUUCUGAUGUAUUUCAAAUCACAACUGGUAGGAAAAGGCAGGGGGAAGCACGACACAUCUAAUGGCACCAGCAAGGAUUAAGGCAAGCAGAGCAUAAAGUUCUUAAGCAGCAUGUUGGCUAGGGAGAGGGGUAAUGACUUGAGCCUGGUAACAUCCUCUGAGACCUUUUACAGUCUUAAGUGUUCAGGUUACACACCAUGGGAUAGAGAGCACUUCUGGAGCUGCAGUGCCCCACAGGAUGGAGAGAGAGGACUGAUGAGAGGGAAGACUAACCAGCAGCUGCAGAGUUGUCAGCAGGUCUCUGCACAACCUGCCUCACUGUAAAGGUUCUGACUCAGAAGUCUGACAAAUCUUCCUCCAUGGAAAGUAAAUUCUUCAAGGCUUCACCUGCUCUGCAAGACCUGACCCAAAUAUCAAGGAAUAGACAGGUUUUGAAAGGUAUGCUUCUAGAGGUGCAUCACAUCAUGUUCUCUGAAUGCUUUCAAUUAAUUUUAAGGAUUUGUUAGAUUUUUCUUCCCUGCAUUGAUGGGAUUUCAGAAUACCCUACUUAGAAUGCCUUGGCUGACCCCAAGGUCUGACAAAAUCAGUAUAACUCUUAGCCUAAUCUUAGAGACAAAAUAAUGAGUUUAAAAUGUUACGAGAAAAAUGAGUUUUAUACAGAUUUGGGUAGAAAAGAUUAAGCUGGAAAUUAACACACUUCAACAACACAUUGUCUCUACUGACCCCAGCAGAGUGAAUGACUGCUAUUAAAAGCUGGCCACAGAGAUGAGGUAUAUUCUUCUAUGCCUACUGCAAAAGGCUCUCAACUGAGAGGGUUGUCAAGCACUGGAACAGGCUGCCCAGAGAAGUGGUUGAGUCACCAGCCCUGGAGGUAUUCGUGGAUGUAAAAGACAUCAAGAUUUGGUCCUUUGGGACAUGUGUGUUGGGCUUGGCAGUGCUGGGUUAAUGGUUGGGCACAAUGUUCCUACAGAUCUUUUCCAAUCUAAAUGAUUCUGUGAUUCUGUUCAACUGGUUCUAUGCACAAAUAGCACCAGCUAGUCUUUAGCUAGACUUGUCUUUUGCAUGUUUAUCUCAGACUUCCUUGGUGCUGUGUAACCACCAAGUAUGUCACGUGUUCUCCCACAUCUGAUUGCCCUCCAGGUGCUUACAGUUAAAAAGGACACUCACAAAACCAGCUUUAAAAACCUGAAGGGAGAGCAGAUAGAAUAAUUUUGGUUUGUUUUUUCCCCCUCAUGCUUUUAUGUGAGAAAUGAGCUGCAAGGGGCAGCUGGGAGCAUGCAUAAACAUAGUCUCGAAGAAGUGAUCAGAAGUCUUUUUUCUAAAUCAUAAAAAAGUUGUCCCCAAACUAUUGAUCAGUCUUUCACCAGUCCAGCUCUAAUUCUGGGUCCUAAACUGGUCAGCAGGUUUAUGAGAGCAGCAGCUGAGGCACUUUCCUCCAGCCAAGAGCAGCCUCAGAUAGAUCUAUCCAGCUUACAGCUGCUUCCAUGUCGAUUUUAUUUGUUCACCAAGAACAAAUAAAACGGAAUCUGUUUCUCCUUCUGCAAGACAACAAAGGUCUGUGUGCUGCAGCAUUAGGCAUGCCAUGAGAAGAGCAAUUUCUGCUUCCAAGAAGCAAAUGCUUGCGACGAUCUGAGCCAGGCCAGAGAGAGAUCACUUGGAUCUUCAGGUUUUCCAAACUCUCACGUGUCCUUCAGCCGCUGGCACCAGAGUGCAGCAAUGUGAGGCAGCACGAAGGGAUGGUGACACUUCCAGAGCAAAAGUGAGGCAAAGCUUAAAGAGCACGAGGGGAGAGAGCUCACACCCGCCUCCGGCCAGGAGCUGGGCCUGAACUCCCAGCAGGAAGGACAUUCCGCCACAGGGAGCCCCUCUGAGGUAACUUGUUACUGGAAGCAAGGCCAGGCAGCGUUCCUUGGAUCACAUUUUGGGCAGUGCCCCUCUGGGUGACUGCCCGGCCCCUCAGUGGCUCUGGGCAGGGCCAGACAAGCUGUCCUCCCUCGCAGGCCUUGCCACUCCCUACAGACUCCCUCCUGCCGGAGCUCUUUUCCGGCCUGCCUUCCCAGGACAGCUCUCCCUGGUAGGCAGAGCCGAGCAGCUGCACCUUCAGCAAGUCCCGGCCACCUGCUGCCCGCUCUGGUGGUCCAGCUGGGGAGCAUUCCCAGGCUCUCCCCCACCGGCUCCUCACCCCCGAGGUGAUGAGGCCUUCUCAGAGGGGGCCUCAGACCCAUGGCUAAUGAAGCAAAUUUUUCUUGGAACUGUUUCCUGAGUAUUGGCAGCCUUGUUCCUUUGCAUCUUAAAAACAAACCCAGGCUUUUAAUAUCACUGAGCAGAGUUUGUAAACUCAGGACAACUCCUUCAUGGCAAAGAUGGUUGUGCUACUACCGCUGUGUGACAGCCGUGAUAUUUUCUUAAACCCCCACAGUAUACUAGUUUGAAUUAAAGCACCUUCUUGUCUCAGUGCCCUUAACAAAAUACCUAAACAGUGGCUUUUCCAAGAUAAUUCCUUUCCCAGAUUUCAGAAAGCAGACGUGAAGACCUCCCAGCCUGCAGCCGCUACCCCCACACCAACCAGCGUAACCCCAUGGCAGAGCCACUGCCCACACAUUAAAUGCACACUCUGGCCAUUUUUUACUUUUUACAUACAGCCUCGCUACUUCUCGGGAACUGCUCUGGCUGAGAAGCGGCUGCAAAUCAGGGCUAAAAUGAUUUCAGAUGUUU
ensembl:lncRNA